AUACGUAGGGGGCAAGCGUUAUCCGGAUUUACUGGGUGUAAAGGGAGCGUAGACGGUUGCGCAAGUCUGAUGUGAAAACCCAAGGCUCAACUUUGGGAUUGCAUUGGAAACUGUGCAACUUGAGUACUGGAGGGGCAGGCGGAAUUCCUGGGGUAGCGGUGAAAUGCGUAGAUAUCAGGAGGAACACCGGCGGCGAAGGCGGCCUGCUGGACAGCAACUGACGUUGAGGCUCGAAGGCGUGGGGAGCAAACAGGAUUAGAUACCCUGGUAGUCCACGCGGUAAACGAUGAUCACUAGGUGUCGGCGGCCAUAGGCGGUCGGUGCCGCAGCAAACGCAAUAAGUGAUCCACCUGGGGAGUACGGCCGCAAGGUUGAAACUCAAAUGAAUUGGCGGGG
rnacentral:rRNA from 1 species